rnacentral:rRNA from 1 species
UACGAAGGGGGCUAGCGUUGCUCGGAAUCACUGGGCGUAAAGCGCACGUAGGCGGAUUGCUAAGUCAGGGGUGAAAUCCUGGAGCUCAACUCCAGAACUGCCCUUGAUAACUGGCGGUCUCGAGUCCGGGAGAGGUGAGUGGAACUGCGAGUGUAGAGGUGAAAUUCGUAGAUAUUCGCAAGAACACCAGUGGCGAAGGCGGCUCACUGGCCCGGUACUGACGCUGAGG